GACGAACGCUGGCGGCGUGGAUUAGGCAUGCAAGUCGAACGGUAUCAUCCUUCGGGGGUGAGAGAGUGGCGAACUGGUGAGUAACACGUAGGUUAUCUACCCUCAAGACGGGGACAACCCAGGGAAAACUUGGGCUAAUACCGGAUGUGAGCAACUUUUAGUUGUUUGAAAGGUGGCGUAAGCUGUCGCUUGGGGAUGAGCCUGCGUCCUAUUAGUUAGUUGGUGAGGUAACGGCUCACCUAGGCAAUGAUAGGUAGGCGGCCUUAACGGGUGGUCGCCCACACUGGGAUUGAGAUACGGCCCAGACUCCUACGGGAGGCAGCAGUCGAGAAUAGUCUACAAUGGUCGGAAGACUGAUAGUGCGACGCCGCGUGAACGAUGAAUCCCUUCGGGGUGUAAAGUUCUUUUAUAUGUGAGCAGUGCUUCUUAUAUUAACAGUAUGGGGAGAGAGAUAUUAGCAUAUGAAUAAGCAACGGCUAACUCCGUG
rnacentral:rRNA from 1 species